GGCCCUGUGGCCUAAUGGAUAAGGCGUAGCUCUCCUAAAGCGAAGACUGCAGGUUCGAAUCGUGCCUGGGUCG
rnacentral:tRNA from 1 species